ACCCGUAAGCUUCGGCCUCGUCUCUGGUUUUCCAGGCUCUUCUUCCUCCGACAACGACAGUCAGCAUGGAGCAGUUCAACUUGCUGGUUUAGCAGGUCAGGGGCCUCACCGAAGUAAUGUAGGCCAUGCAGCAGCAGUCGCAGCAGCCACAGGCAUUAGUGCGGCUAGAAAGAGCAUCAUUGGAGUUUCAAAAUUCGAUG
rnacentral:lncRNA from 1 species